AAUCAAAUAGCUAAGACAAUGGUCAUCCAAUUCCGAUUCCAAAGGUCACAGGUUCGAAUCCUGUCGGGUGCGCCA
rnacentral:tRNA from 1 species